CCUACGGGGGGCAGCAGUGAGGAAUAUUGGUCAAUGGGCGCGAGCCUGAACCAGCCAAGUAGCGUGAAGGAUGACUGCCCUACGGGUUGUAAACUUCUUUUAUAAAGGAAUAAAGUGAGGCACGUGUGCCUUUUUGUAUGUACUUUAUGAAUAAGGAUCGGCUAACUCCGUGCCAGCAGCCGCGGUAAUACGGAGGAUUCAAGCGUUAUCCGGAUUUACUGGGUUUAAAGGGUGCGUAGGCGGUCGGAUAAGUUAGAGGUGAAAUCCCGAGGCUCAACUUCGGAAUUGCCUCUGAUACUGUUCGGCUAGAGAGUAGUUGCGGUAGGCGGAAUGUAUGGUGUAGCGGUGAAAUGCUUAGAUAUCGAGAGGAACACUCGUGGCGAAGGCGGGUUCCUGGACAUUAACUGACGCUGAGGCACGAAGGCCAGGGGAGCGAAAGGGAUUAGAUACCCUAGUAGUC
rnacentral:rRNA from 1 species